UUUGUGUUUUACACACUUUCAUAAUUCUGUUAUGAUAGUGUUUUUUGUGUUUCUUUUUGCGUUUGUGCCAAGCAAAACCGUUAUGAUUAGUCUUGGGGAUGAUCGUUUGGUCAUGCUUGAAAAGACAGAAACUUUCUGCUCACGAAAAGAAUUUUCGUUUUUGUUCUGUAAGAGAUUUGGAGUUGAUUCUUUUUGCUGAUGAUUUCUACGCAAAUUCUUCAGAAUGUCGUAAUGUUUCAGAAUUUUUGAAGUACCAUAGGUAUACGAAACAUACAGAUUGCUACAGACUGGUCUGCAGUUAACAGAUUCUGUUUUUGUUGUAUUGGUUGCUUAUUUUGAUGAAACUAUGGAUAGUAUCGGGGGGUAUUAGCCAUGGAAGAUUGAAAGCACAGUAAACCAACAUCAGCACAAGUAGAAUUUAAGUUUUCUACAGUACCUAAGGAAGUGGUGGUUUGCUUUCUUGUACUAAUGUUAUCGCUAGUUUCUGUUUAAGUUUCGUGUUGUGAAGUUUUCAAGUUUUGGGUGAAGUUCUUAUGGACAAAGAGAUAAAAGAGUGGCAAGAGCUCAAGCUUGGGGAUGCCCAAGGAACCCCAAGAGAUUCAAGGAUGAUGAAAAAGCCUAAGCUUGGGGAUGCCCCGGGAAGGCAUCCCCUCUCUCGUCUUCAAUCCGUCGGUAACGUUACUUGGGGCUAUGUUUUUAUUCACCACAUGUUAUGUGUUUUUUCUUGGAGCGUCUUGUAUCGUAGGGGUCUUUUAUUUUUGUUGUGUCACAAUCAUCCUUAGUGCACACCUAGAGAGAGAGAC
rnacentral:lncRNA from 1 species